UACUGAUCUUUCUCUGAAGACUAGCCCAGAGGCUGCCUCAAGACAGCAGAUGGCUUUGAGCUGGCAAGAUGAGCUAGGUGGUAAGCUGAGUUGAGACAGUGGACAAAACUGAACUGAGGUGACAGAUAGCAUGAAGGCAGCACUUGGGAAGAUGACAGUACUGAGGAAGCUUGAGCUGAAGCUGCAGAGAGCCAUAACCAAUUUGAGGCACUCUGAUGUUGGCCUCCCUACCCAGCAAAUAAAGCUGAAAUUACUUCAGCAGGGUCAGGUGGUAAAGCCCCCAGAGCAACCCAGAGACGACUUCCCUUAGGGGCUGGAGGCUGACCUGCCAGAAUUCUAGGACUCCUUCAUCUCUGGACAACAGACUAAUCAUCAAUUAUGCUGUGAUAUGGACCUUGUCUUUUCCUCGCAACCUGUAGUGUUAAAUAUAGAACUCAGGUGGGAAGAGUGUUUCCCCCCUACGCAUCCAGAAGAACUGUCAGAAUCAGAUGGGCCAGUAAGCAACAUCCAGAGGCUACCUCUCGGUCCACCCUGCAAGACAUUUUGAAUGGACAAGUCACUACAACUCUGUCACUCUUAGGAUUUAGAUUGCAACUCA